UAAUGAUCCAGAUCUCAUAAUAUAAUCUGAUAAAUAAAUCAGCUCCCUUUGGUUUGUUGUUUUUUAUAACAGAUCUUUUUUUUUUAUUGAGGAGAGUCAAGUUGGGCUGUCCAUUUUUAGAAAAUAAACCAAUGACAAAUAAUGAAAUUGUUACAUCAUUCACAGGGUUACAGUCAAUAUACAUUUAUACAGAAACACAGGAUCCGCCACGUCGAGGUCACAGUGAACCAAACCGGCGCCGGGCUAAAAAACGUGGACUGCGGGGGGGCAACACGUGCUGCUGCCCCUGCCUGUGUGCACCUCAGCCAACCUGUUAGUGAGGGACGGGGCCGGGGGACGCGGUGCUGGGUCAUGGGUUAUGGGGUGCUGCUAGGUGAUUAACUGGGGUGUUUUGGGGAAAGGACAGUACAGACUAUAGCCAAGUGGAGAGGCUUUUUUAUACAGAUGGAGAAUAAAUUUAAAAUAAUUAACGCUGCAAAUGUCGGGAAUCCGUACUUUGAACACAGCACCACUAGAGGGCACUGUCGGGCUUCAGACUAGAUGGUUGAAUUAUAUAUUUUUGAUUUUUUAAACACAGAAGCCAUUUUCUAUCCGUGCUGUGUGCCAGGCCCGUGAUCCAAGCGUAUUUGGACGAUGUUCAAAUGCACGCCCGGUGGGUGCAGGCUGGCCCAGCUCGUGUUGAAUCACACCACCACGAAUUAGUAACAUUGAGAAUUUACUGUUUUUCUUUCUGUCCUUCAAAAAAAAAAUUGGCACGGGACGUUCUGUCUCUGUCCCAGUUUUUUUUUCCUGUGAAAUGAACCACAACCUUUCACAAAAAACAUCAUGCAGGCAUAUGCACAAUGUCAACAAAUCCCCAAAUAAAUUGCACAUGUAGAAAUCCUUUAAGAAGUGGGAAAAAUAACCAGUGGGUUCCGUCUGGCCUUGGUAAAUUAGCAACAUGGGACAAUGACGACCUGUAGAGAAGUUAUCGAAUGGACAAAAAAACCUGCAGAUUUACCGUUUUGAAAAAGUAGAAACCUGAAUAAAUAUGUAAAAGAAAAAGAAAAAAAGGUUUUCGGGCAAAUUAAAGUAUUUUGAAAGCUUUGUGUGAGUAACUGCCAAAAAUGACGUUGCCAUUAGCAUCCUCACAUUAUCAAUAAAUCUCAAACUGAAAUGCCAGUGGACAUCCAUUUAGCCAAAGUAUUGCCUCAGGUAAAAAUACAAUUUGUACCGCCUAUUCACAACUGAAUAUUAACAACUCUUAAAGAGAAUGUUAAUUAUUUUCCUCUGUGUAACAAAAAAGAGUCCAGAGUUUAGCCAAAAUAGUCUAUUGGUGCAUCAUUAUUCUGGAUAGACCCCACAUCAUUUUAAAUAUUAUAAUCCUCACACUGUCUAAGUGUUCACAUUAGAACAUGUCCCUAGUCACACUCAACUGUGGACUAGCUGGUUUCUCUGCAUUUCUACAUCAAACUGUUUCCAUCUCGUCUUCUUGCAUGACUUCUAGGCGAGUCAUGCUAGCGGAGUUUUGAUUCAAAUGGAGAUGUUACAAUCAACGAUCACACCACUGGCUUCAGCGCUGAGCACCCGAGGAUCUCAGUAACAGCGGGGGUUAGCUUAGGAAUAUCAAAAGAAACGCAGAUUCACGGAGUGCUCCUAGCUUUACAGGGAGUGGCUUCACCAGGCUUACGCGGCUCAACACCGGCAUCAAACCCAGGUCGUGAUCUGGUUUGAAAAGGUCAAAAACUUCCUCGGGGGGGGGUUAAGAGGUUCUUAACAGCAAGCAGAGAGCUCUGCCUGCUGAGUACAGCCGGGUACUUCCGAAAUGUCGCCUUACAAACAUAUCAGCUAUACUUCAGGGGUAAUGUUAAAAAUAUAAAUAAUAGAGAUUGAGAAGCGUCUGCUAAAUGCCCAAAAUGUAGAUGUAAAUGUAGAAGCCUUGGUGGAUUAUCCUCCAAGAAACAGCAACAUCUCCUCAUGUCGGACCACAGAUCCUACAAGCGCAAGCAACCCAAAAAACUAAAAGAAAAAAGGGAAUUCAAGUGCCUCUUUUUUUGUACAAGGAACAUUUGAGCACCUAAAACAGAUGCCCUUCUGUUGUUUCAAACUGUAAUCAAAUGUUCUCGAGUGGUGAAGUGCUCUUUACAAGUGUUUAAAAAAAUACAACUGGGCGUUGGCAUCUGGGUCACCGCAUCAAUUAUUUUGGCGUUUCAUUCAUCCUUUGAUUUAACGGCCAGGAGCGAUCACCGUUUCACAACCUCUCUCUCUCUCUCUCUCUCUCUCUCUCUCUCUCUCGCUCUCGCUCUCGCUCUCUCUCUCGCUCUCUCUCUCUCUCUCUCUCUCUCUCUCUCUCUCACUCUCAAUCUCUCGCCUCGCUCUCUCUCGCUCUCUAACUCUCGCUCCCAAUCUCUCGCUCUCUCUCGCUCUCUCUCUCUCACUCUCUCUCUGCCGUCACAUGUUACACAGCGUCGCUCCAUGUGAAAUAUUGAUUGUGACCAAAUCCCCUCAACCGUAGUGUGGAGGUCUCAGAGGGGGGGGGGCGAGUGACAACACGUUAAAUAAUGAUCACAUGUGCAAGAGGCUGUUUGGAGCCCUGGAAGAUAGCAACGCAAAACGUAGAAAAAUCAGACAAAUAAUGACAAAAUCGUACAAAGUAUUGUCCUCUGAGGAAACAUGUCGGAGGGGAAGUGUCCUCACAGCCAGACGUUGGGGGGGUCUGGCGUUGAUGGGGGGGCGGUUAUCGUUACCCCCCCCCCCCCCACGCGUCUCAGGGUGUAACGGGACCACCGUCGCAGGGGGCUCCCCCCCACCCGCCACCGCCGCCGACGGGGUCGGAACCGAAGACACAAACUGUGAACAACUGCUGCAGAGUGGGGGGUGGAGGGAGCGAUGGAGGGAGGGGCUAGGGGAAGGAGGGGCCAGGUGGCCGUGAGGCCGGGGUCCGGGGCUCAGCCAUGGGGUCAGGGUGGGAUUCAGCCCCUGCUGUGUUCGGACUCAUCUGAGCGGAGGCUCACAGCUGGCUGUCCGUGUCUGGCUGGGAGGUCUGCACCAAGCUCCCGCCCCCUCGCCCUCGUCCGAUUGGCCGAGCCAAACGGAUCCUUAUCUUUUAUUAGCUGUUCCGGCCCCACCUCUCUCUCUCUCUCUCUCUCUCUCUCUCUCUCCCUCUCUCUCUGUCUCUCUCUCUCUCUCUGUCUCUCUCUCUCUCUGAUUCCGUACCUGUCGGGAGCUGUCAUUCCCUCCAAAGACCCAGACACACAAAGACACACAGACGCACACACAGCGUUGCCCCCGACGACAACACACGCAUGGACUGGCUGCCCUUGAUUCAACUGACAGUAUUUUUUUUUUUCUUGAAGAAAACCAUACAAUAAGUGUAAAUAUAUUGUCUAUAAAAUAAGAACAAAACAAACAAAGGGAGCAGGGAAAGGCCCUGUUUAUAUACACAGUUUUGAGCGCCUUCAGUUCCAUCAUUUCAUAUCAUAAAAAUUAAAACUAAAAUGGAAGAUCCAAAGCCUUUCUCGGAGUCAUUCACUACUAGACCAUAAAUGGAAAACCCUCCAGAGAAUCAUAUUCAGAAUAACUCUAACAAUAAUGGCUCUAAACGGUAAUAGUGGCUAUAACUUAACACAGUAACCCUGUUCAUGUUGAGCUUGGCUUGGUGAGAGGACUCCUGUCCACUGUCAGAUAACUACUGCUGUGCAACCGAGCACCAAUCCGUCAUCGGGAACAGUGUUCAAACGGGAACUCUCAGAGCAAAAAGAAACGCCCACACAAUGUUACACAGAAUAUAAUGUGAGAACAUUAAACUCUGCAAAGUGUGUCAAAUCCAACAGCUUACUGUACAGAUUUCUGGUAAUUGUACCAAAGCAAAGCACUGUGAAAUCUACAGCUCUCUCCGCAUGCUGUAAAACGCCAGCCCCGGUGAUUCUGGAGGGGCCGGACUGCGCACACUUUGUACAAUCAUGCACACACACACACACGCACACACACACACUCGCAAACACACAUACACAGAAAGGGGACAAUGCUAAGAUGUGAGAUAUCAUUUGUGCCCACAGUCCUUUGUAAACAAGAGAUCCGCUCAAAACCCAUUGUUGUUGUUUUCGGCACAUCGACGCCCAAAGUUGAUCCGCGGUUUCUUCCUGUUUGGUCUUUGUUUUGUCACCAACAUUGCAGAUAAACAAGAGGAUAGUGUCGCUAUGGCGAUGGAUGGACCAAACAGUGUGUGUCUGAAGGGAGCACCUCUUUGUACACACACGCCUGCGACUCGAUGCGGAGAGCGUCUGAUAUGCUAGGGGGGAGGACUGGCACUGCAUGGAGGGGGGGGGGGGCGUUUGGCGAGGUGUGUGUGAAGGAAAGGGGAUAACUCUGGUGGAGGAAAAGGCAGAGGAAAAAAGUCUUCAUCACAACAUGUCACACGAGAACAGAAAAUCACUCGCUAUGAGAAAAUAAAUGAAUUCUUUCGCUGAGCGUGGAUUAGAAUCUUAAAGUCUGAGUGUUUUUUAUCCACUCCACGGCGGUGGAUGGUACAGGAAUUACCCAGGUGACGGUACAGGAAGUACCCAGGUGACGGUACAGGAAUUACCCAGGUGACGGUACAGGAAGUACCCAGGUGAUGGUACAGGAAGUACCCAGGUGACGGUACAGGAAGUACCCAGGUGACGGUACAGGAAGUACCCAGGUGACGGUACAGGAAGUACCCAGGUGAUGGGUGUGUUUAGGGGGGCAGACCAACAGGUCCUUCAGUCUUUCUUUGUGCCAGGACGGGGGGUCUGGAGGGGUCCAGGAACCUUUACCAAAGUAAG
ensembl:lncRNA